GCCCUGCGAAAGCUGAUUCCUACAACGCAACAAUAUCAAGAGGGCAGCGUGAGUCCCAGAUGCAGCCAGCUCGCCUGACCCGGUAACUGAGUGCGUAUUCCCGCUACAUUAAUGGUACAAGGAGAAGUGACCUUCCUCUUCACGCGCUGAGGGUCGCGAUGCCAUUUAGAAGCACUUCCUGUCAUGAUCUGGAAAAGCAGCCCAGACUCAGUAGGACUCGUCGGCAGGAGCAGCAGCUGAGCCGAAGAUGCAGCGCAUCACUAAGAUCGGCCGUGAUUUCGCUGAGGCCGAGCACUGCCUUUAAUUUCUGGAAGAGAGGUGCCGGGGCUGAAACCCUUCCCCUGAAGUUUUGCUUUUCGACCCGGAGGUUGCAGUCUUGCCCGUAUUUACUGUUGGAGUCGCCAUGAGGUAUUAUACAAUGGUUGUCAUAGGAACUCUGGAAGUCAUUUAAAUAAAGAAUAGAAUUACUACCGGAAUCUCCUUUGAGUCUGGCAGCUGAAGCUGAGGAUGAAUUAGCUCUUGUAGCAUGUGCUUCCUCAUUAAGUGGGGGUGAGGAGAAGCAGCAUGUGAAACAAUAGUAAAUGGCAGCACACUAAGGUGACAUGACAUUCGAGAUUCUGUAGCCAUGUGCCGAAUGGAACAUUUCAAAGCAGAGGAAGGAAGAAUGCUCAAGUGAUGCAGGAUUAUUGAAAGGUCUCUUAUGAAACUGCUGAAAAAGCUGAGCGCAUUUAUUUCCUUAUUUUCCAAAUGAAAUGUACUGAGCUUCUAUCUUGCCUCUUCCCCAAUGAGGAGGAGAAAGAAAGGAAAGACUAUAAAAGAGUAGGGAGCGACAAGAAGGAACACAAAAAGCCGCAGAGCUACUGCAAUAACUAGAUAGGAGGGAUUAGAUGCGACAUUCUUGGACAUUUGGCAGUGCAGUGGCUCUUAUGGCAAAACAACUUUUAAAUUUAAACCAAGAACCUUUUCUUCGGAAAGCUAAUUUCUUUUGUUGGCCAUGCUUAGGAAGUCUUGCAGCCCAGAAUGUUCACAGGAUUCCCUCAAAGUUUCAUUUUGGUCUUAAGAAGAUUUCACCUACAAGUGGCUCUUCUUUUCUGCUAGAUCCAAACAAGGCUCUCCAUUUUCUAUGAAGAUUAAUUUAGAUUUUCUAUUGCAGAGGCAUACA